UACGUAGGGUGCAAGCGUUAUCCGGAAUUAUUGGGCGUAAAGAGCUCGUAGGUGGUUUGUCGCGUUGUUCGUGAAAACUCACAGCUCAACUGUGGGCGUGCGGGCGAUACGGGCAGACUGGAGUACUGCAGGGGAGACUGGAAUUCCUGGUGUAGCGGUGGAAUGCGCAGAUAUCAGGAGGAACAGCCGGUGGCGAAGGCGGGCUCUGGGCAGUAACUGACGUGGAGGAGCGAAAGCGUGGGGAGCGAACAGGAUUAGAUCCCUAGU
rnacentral:rRNA from 1 species